rnacentral:rRNA from 1 species
CCUACAGGGCGCAGCAGUGGGGAAUAUUGCACAAUGGGGGAAACCCUGAUGCAGCGACGCCGCGUGAGUGAAGAAGUAAUUCGAUACGUAAAGCUCUAUCAGCAGGGAAGAAACACUGACCUUACGGUCAGCAGACGGUACCUGAGUAAGAAGCCCCGGCUAACUACGUGCCAGCAGCCGCGGUAAUACGUAGGGGGCAAGCGUUAUCCGGAUUUACUGGGUGUAAAGGGAGCGUAGACGGCAGCGCAAGUCUGAAGUGAAAUCCCAUGGCUUAACCAUGGAACUGCUUUGGAAACUGUGCAGCU